CCUACGGGUGGCUGCAGUGGGGAAUAUUGGACAAUGGGGGCAACCCUGAUCCAGCCAUGCCGCGUGUGUGAAGAAGGCCCUCGGGUUGUAAAGCACUUUCAGUGAGGAAGAACGCCUGGUGGUUAAUACCCAUCAGGAAAGACAUCACUCACAGAAGAAGCACCGGCUAACUCCGUGCCAGCAGCCGCGGUAAUACGGAGGGUGCGAGCGUUAAUCGGAAUUACUGGGCGUAAAGCGCGCGUAGGUGGCUUGAUAAGCCGGUUGUGAAAGCCCCGGGCUCAACCUGGGAACGGCAUCCGGAACUGUCAGCUAGAGUGCAGGAGAGGAAGGUAGAAUUCCCGGUGUAGCGGUGAAAUGCGUAGAGAUCGGGAGGAAUACCAGUGGCGAAGGCGGCCUUCUGGACUGACACUGACACUGAGGUGCGAAAGCGUGGGUAGCAAACAGGAUUAGAUACCCUAGUAGUC
rnacentral:rRNA from 1 species